rnacentral:rRNA from 1 species
GAUGAACGCUGGCGGCGUGCCUAAUACAUGCAAGUCGAGCGAACGGACGAGAAGCUUGCUUUUCUGAUGUUAGCGGCGGACGGGUGAGUAACACGUGGAUAACCUACCUAUAAGACUGGGAUAACUUCGGGAAACCGGAGCUAAUACCGGAUAAUAUUUUGAACCGCAUGGUUCAAAAGUGAAAGACGGUCUUGCUGUCACUUAUAGAUGGAUCCGCGCUGCAUUAGCUAGUUGGUAAGGUAACGGAUUACCAAGGCAACGAUGCAUAGCCGACCUGAGAGGGUGAUCGGCCACACUGGAACUGAGACACGGUCCAGACUCCUACGGGAGGCAGCAGUAGGGAAUCUUCCGCAAUGGGCGAAAGCCUGACGGAGCAACGCCGCGUGAGUGAUGAAGGUCUUCGGAUCGUAAAACUCUGUUAUUAGGGAAGAACAUAUGUGUAAGUAACUGUGCACAUCUUGACGGUACCUAAUCAGAAAGCCACGGCUAACUACGUG